GACGAACGCUGGCGGCGUGCUUAACACAUGCCAGUCGAACGGAAAGGCCCUGCUUUUGUGGGGUGCUCGAGUGGCGAACGGGUGAGUAACACGUGAGUAACCUGCCCUUGACUUUGGGAUAACUUCAGGAAACUGGGGCUAAUACCGGAUAGGAGCUCCUGCUGCAUGGUGGGGGUUGGAAAGUUUCGGCGGUUGGGGAUGGACUCGCGGCUUAUCAGCUUGUUGGUGGGGUAGUGGCUUACCAAGGCUUUGACGGGUAGCCGGCCUGAGAGGGUGACCGGCCACAUUGGGACUGAGAUACGGCCCAGACUCCUACGGGAGGCAGCAGUGGGGAAUAUUGCACAAUGGGCGGAAGCCUGAUGCAGCAACGCCGCGUACGGGAUGACGGCCUUCGGGUUGUAAACCGCUUUCGCCUGUGACGAAGCGUGAGUGACGGUAAUGGGUAAAGAAGCACCGGCUAACUACGUG
rnacentral:rRNA from 1 species